rnacentral:lncRNA from 1 species
GUUCAAAGGCAGUAUUGUGAAUAAAAUUGUAGUCACAAUAGAAACUUUAUCAGUGAAUUCAGAGUGACCAGGAUAUUGCUUUUAAGAUUUUUAGGCGUUUCUGUUAGCGUUGAUGUUAUUUCUGCAUAUGGUUUAUUGAAGUCAACAAAUGGUAUUGUUGCAAAUGAGACUCAGUAAUGCAGUUUAUCUUAAGUCCAUACUUACCUGUGUGUCACUCAGGGCCUUUUCUGUCACUUCAGUGUUGUGAUCUUUAUCUUUUUUUCCCCCUUUUUUUGUUUGUAAGGAGAAAGGCAAUUUAUGAAACAGAGAGCAGAACACUAUUCUGGAGAAUGAGAUGUCUGAUUUUUGUUCCAAGCUCUGCCAGAGUGACCUUGCACUGCCACUUUCUCUGUAUUUCAGCAUCCACAACUAUAAAACGUUUUGAAGAAAUAGAUGGUGAGGUGAAAUUUCACACUGAUUUUCAACAGACAAUGGAAAGAAGCUAG